UGUUCAGACUGGAAGUCCUUCCAGUCCAAUCAAGACAUUUCAGAGAUAUUGAUCAUUGAUAACAGCUGAACCGGACCAGAGCUUUAAAGCCUAAAACAAGAUUUCAAACAUUUCUGACCCGUUUAAACUCAAAGUCCAUGAAUGUAAUUGAAGCUGAUGACGUAGUCGUUCUCCUGACCUCUGACCUCUGAAGUAAAGCUUCAGUUUCUGAACCAGGCCUGUUGACUGGUCUCCAUGGAAACGGACCCAGAAGGUUGUCGUGUGACGAUCAAAUGGAGAUUUGCAUGAAUAACUCGGAUGUUUGCAUGAGAGGAAGAGGAAGAGGAGGAAGACAAGGCAGCCUUUCAGCCGCUGGCCGCCUGCAGCAGCACCAGUAGCAGUCUGUGACGCUGGGCUGCAGGAAGGACCCCUGACUGAGCGUCAUUCAUCACAAUCAACUGUAGCAAAAGUCUUCACACCCCUCUGACCCAGUUCUUGUUUAUGUGACGAGAACCAGAAGAAAACGGACAAAAAUCUGAAAGGUGUGUCAUUCACCGCCCCUUUACUCCGACACCCCGAAAUCAACCAGAAGAGCCAAAACAGAAUUUACCACAAACCAGAUCAUAACUGGGGAAAGAUUCAUAUCACAAAUAAAAAUCUGAAAAGUGUGGUGUGCAUUUUAUUCUGCCACUGUUCCUCUGAUGCUCCUUCAUAAAAACUCCUUCAGUCACCUGAAGCGUCCGGCUCAGAAACGAGAAGAGAGACAGAAAGUCACAUUGAUCAGGACCUUUACUACAUCGAUACAGCACUGCAAUAAUCACCACACACACACACACACACACACACACACACACACACACACACACACACACACACACACACACACACACACACACACACAGGAUAAGGUAUUAACCACAAGCAAUGAAAAACCAGCAGAAAGUUUCAGACUGAAACAGAUUUGAGGUAGAAAUCCAUCAGAUAGAUCAGCUGAAGCUCUUUUGUCUCUUAAAUUACCCAAGAUAAAAAAAAUAACCCAAAGAAACGCUGCAGAAAUAUUCAUUGAGCAGAAAACCCAAAACUUUCUUCAUUUAAACCAUAAAAACCCAUCAGCAGGCGAGGAGCCGGAUCCGGGCAGGUUCAGUACUGGACUGGUUCUGGACCGGGUCAGCAGCAGCUGCAGCUCUUUUUGCUUCAACUCAUCAACCAUUGAAUCAGGGGCCCAAACUUUUUGCCCUGUGGGCCAAAACAGACUAAUUUAAAGCAGCUAAAUGUCAUUGAAUUAAAAAUGCAAAAAUUUGUGAUUAUUAAAUUUUUUUCUUUUUUAGUUUUACCUGCUCAACAAAAGUUUUUUUAAUAAAAUCUGAUGAAACUGCAAAAACACUAAAUCUGACCAAGUAUUUAAAGUUUCUAGAGCAAACAUCUCAGCUGACAUGAAAUAAGACAAAACUAACUUACAUUAAAAUUUGGUGAAAACGUUAGCAGAUUAUUUCAGCGUCUCGUUAUGAGUGAAAUUAUUGGCCUUAUUUCUUAUUAAGACUUUUGUGCUACAAACUGUAAAUACUUGGUCAGGUUUUGUGUUUUACAUAAAAAGACCUUCGGACUGUUGGCUUAUUAAAAGAAAAA